rnacentral:rRNA from 2 species
UUGGAUCCAGACUUUGAUCCUGGCUCAGGAUGAACGCUAGCUACAGGCUUAACACAUGCAAGUCGAGGGGAAACGAUAGAGAAAGCUUGCUUUUUCUAGGCGUCGACCGGCGCACGGGUGAGUAACGCGUAUCCAACCUGCCCACCACUUGGGAAUAACCUUGCGAAAGUAAGACUAAUACCCAAUGAUAUCUCUAGAAGACAUCUGAAGGAGAUUAAAGAUUUAUCGGUGAUGGAUGGGGAUGCGUCUGAUUAGCUUGUUGGCGGGGUAACGGCCCACCAAGGCGACGAUCAGUAGGGGUUCUGAGAGGAAGGUCCCCCACAUUGGAACUGAGACACGGUCCAAACUCCUACGGGAGGCAGCAGUGAGGAAUAUUGGUCAAUGGGCGAGAGCCUGAACCAGCCAAGUAGCGUGCAGGAUGACGGCCCUAUGGGUUGUAAACUGCUUUUAUAAGGGAAUAAAGUGAGCCUCGUGAGGCUUUUUGCAUGUACCUUAUGAAUAAGGACCGGCUAAUUCCGUGCCAGCAGCCGCGGUAAUACGGAAAGUCCGGGCGUUAUCCGGAUUUAUUGGGUUUAAAGGGAGCGUAGGCCGGAGAUUAAGCGUGUUGUGAAAUGUAGAUGCUCAACAUCUGCACUGCAGCGCGAACUGGUUUCCUUGAGUACGCACAAAGUGGGCGGAAUUCGUGGUGUAGCGGUGAAAUGCUUAGAUAUCACGAAGAACUCCGAUUGCGAAGGCAGCUCACUGGAGCGCAACUGACGCUGAAGCUCGAAAGCGCGGGUAUCGAACAGGAUUAGAUACCCUGGUAGUCCGCACGGUAAACGAUGGAUGCCCGCUGUUGGUCUGAAUAGGUCAGCGGCCAAGCGAAAGCAUUAAGCAUCCCACCUGGGGAGUACGCCGGCAACGGUGCAACUCAAAGGAAUUGACGGA